UACAAAAUUUAAGAUAAAAACCUACGAGUUUGAUGUACGGUGACUGAAGUUUUGCAAAACAGAGAUUCGCACCUUGUAUUUUGGGAAGAACUCACCAGAUCUUAUCCCUCUCUCUUACAGACCGGUUUUCUCGGUCUUUCUUCGGCUUUCCUCUGUUAUUAAUCUAUCUUUCGUUAAUUGGCAUGUCAGCCGCUAUUAAAGCCAUGGGGCGGCCAACAAACUAGGGCUUUUCGGCUCUGCUUUCAACAAUAGAUUGAUUGUCACAUAAUACUUUCAUAACUUUAAAGAGAGAAUUCUUAAUUCAUUCAAUGCCCUUUGUAGCCAUAUUGCUUCACAAAUACUCCGUGAUGGGAGUAGACAUCAUUAUGCGCUAUAUUAAACGGUUUAGAGGCUUUGUGGGGCAAUUGGAUGUG